ACGGGUGAGUAACACGUGGGUAACCUGCCCCGAUUACCGGGACAACUCGAGGAAACUCGAGCUAAUACCGGAUGUGCCCGCCCCGCAUCAGCGGGGUGUGUAAAGGAAGCUUCGGCCUCCGAAUCGGGAUGGGCCCGCGGCCCAUUAGCUAGUUGGUGAGGUAACGGCUCACCAAGGCUUCGAUGGGUAGCUGGUCUGAGAGGACGAUCAGCCACACUGGGACUGAGACACGGCCCAGACUCCUACGGGAGGCAGCAGUGGGGAAUCUUGCGCAAUGCGCGAAAGCGUGACGCAGCAACGCCGCGUGGGGGAAGAAGGCUUUCGGGUUGUAAACCCCUUUCAGUUGGGACGAAGCCUCGUCCGUUAAUAGCGGUGCGAGGUGACGGUACCUUCACAAGAAGCCCCGGCUAACUACGUGCCAGCAGCCGCGGUAAUACGUAGGGGGCAAGCGUUGUCCGGAAUCAUUGGGCGUAAAGAGCGUGUAGGCGGUCCUGUAAGUCCGCUGUGAAAGUCAAGGGCUCAACCCUUGAAUGCCGGUGGAUACUGCAGGACUAGAGUCCGGAAGAGGCGAGUGGAAUUC
rnacentral:rRNA from 1 species